rnacentral:rRNA from 1 species
UCAGGAUGAACGCUAGCGGCAGGCUUAACACAUGCAAGUCGAGGGGCAACGCGAGUAGCAAUACUUGGCGGCGACCGGCGCAAGGGUGCGUAACGCGUGAGCAACAUGCCCGUAUCAGGGGGAUAAUCCAGGGAAACUUGGUCUAAUACCCCAUAGUAAUUUUGUAAGGCAUCUUAUAAGAUUUAAAGCUUUGGUGGAUACGGAUUGGCUCGCGUGACAUUAGCUGGAUGGUAAGGUAACGGCUUACCAUGGCUAUGAUGUCUAGGGGUUCUGAGAGGAAGGUCCCCCACACUGGAACUGAGACACGGUCCAGACUCCUACGGGAGGCAGCAGUGAGGAAUAUUGGACAAUGGAUGGAAAUCUGAUCCAGCCAUGCCGCGUGAAGGAAGAAGGUCCUAUGGAUUGUAAACUUCUUUUGUAUGGGAGCAAUAAGGCCUACGAGUAGGUUGAUGAGAGUACCAUACGAAUAAGCACCGGCUAACUCCGUGCCAGCCGCCGC